UACGUAGGCAGCGAGCGUUGUUCGGAGUUACUGGGCGUAAAGAGUGCGUAGGCGGUUUUCUAAGUUUGGUGUGAAAUCUCCCGGCUCAACUGGGAGGGUGCGCCGAAGACUGGAAGGCUUGAGUAUGGGAGAGGUAAGCGGAAUUCCUGGUGUAGCGGUGAAAUGCGUAGAUAUCAGGAGGAACACCGGUGGCGAAGGCGGGUCUCUGGGCCGAUACUGACGCUGAGGAGCGAAAGCGUGGGGGAGCGAACAGG
rnacentral:rRNA from 1 species